CACUUAUUAUUGCAAUUCUAAUUGAGGUCAAGCAAAGCAGUAGUUGUACUUUUACGCGAGAAGGUUUAUCUUCCACCACCGGUUGGAAGUGUGUUUUUACCUUUCAAGCCAAAGGGACCGGAAAGGGAGUGUCGUG